AUGUCCUUUGCAGUAUUGCAGAUCUGGUUUCUGUGCCACAUGUGUAUGAGUUGGUGGCUGAGAUGAGAGAAGCUAUGUUUAUGGUCAGUGUUCUUACCUAUGAACAUAUGAAUCCUUAGUAGCCUAACAUU